UCGGGAAUUUUGGGCAAUGGGCGAAAGCCUGACCCAGCAACGCCGCGUGAGGGAUGAAGUAUUUCGGUAUGUAAACCUCGAAAGAAUGGGAAGAAUAAAUGACGGUACCAUUUAUAAGCUCCGGCUAACUACGUGCCAGCAGCCGCGGUAAUACGUAGGGAGCAAGCGUUGUUCGGAUUUACUGGGCGUAAAGGGCGCGUAGGCGGCGCGGUAAGUCACUUGUGAAAUCUCUGAGCUUAACUCAGAACGGCCAAGUGAUACUGCUGUGCUAGAGUGCGGAAGAGGCAACCGGAAUUCUUGGGGUAGCGGUGAAAUGCGUAGAUAUCAAGAGGAACACCUGAGGCGAAGGCGGGUUGCUGGGCCGACACUGACGCUGAUGCGCGAAAGCCAGGGGAGCAAACG
rnacentral:rRNA from 1 species